GAGACCUUAGUUUAACGGAAAAAUAUGUGACUUUUGAUCAUCAUCAUACGGGUUCAAAUCCCGUAGGUCUUA
rnacentral:tRNA from 1 species